rnacentral:ncRNA from 1 species
UUUCCAGAGAUGGCAUGGAAACAUGUCAAUCGGCAGCAAGCGAAGGUGUCUUUUACACCCGUGGUACAGUCACCCCGGCCGUACCACGUUUUUUUAUU